AACGAACGCUGGCGGCAUGCCUAACACAUGCAAGUCGAACGGGAUCCUGGCUUCGGUCAGGUGAGAGUGGCGGACGGGUGAGUAACGCGUGGGAACCUGCCCAGUGGUGGGGGAUAACUGCGGGAAACUGCAGCUAAUACCGCAUGCGCCCGAGAGGGGAAAGAUUUAUCGCCAUUGGAGGGGCCCGCGUUCGAUUAGGUAGUUGGUGGGGUAAUGGCCUACCAAGCCGACGAUCGAUAGCUGGUCUGAGAGGAUGAUCAGCCACACUGGGACUGAGAUACGGCCCAGACUCCUACGGGAGGCAGCAGUGGGGAAUAUUGGACAAUGGGGGCAACCCUGAUCCAGCAAUGCCGCGUGAGUGAUGAAGGCCUUCGGGUUGUAAAGCUCUUUUGCCAGGGACGAUGAUGACGGUACCUGGAGAAUAAGCCCCGGCUAACUUCGUGCCAGCAGCCGCCGUAACAC
rnacentral:rRNA from 1 species